GUCGUGAGACGUUGGGUUAAUUCCCGCAAGGAGCGCAACCCUUGAUCUUAGUUGCCAGCAUUCAGUUGGGCACUCUAAGGUGACUGCCGGUGACAAACCGGAGGAAGGUGGGGAUGACGUCAAAUCAUCAUGCCCCUUAUGACCUGGGCUACACACGUGCUACAAUGGACAGAACAAAGGGCUGCAAGACCGCCAGGUUUAGCCAAUCCCAUAAAUCUGUUCUCAGUUCGGAUCGCAGUCUGCAACUCGACUGCGUGAAGCUGGAAUCGCUAGUAAUCGCGGAUCAGCAUGCCGCGGUGAAUACGUUCCCGGGCCUUGUACACACCGCCCGUCACACCACGAGAGUUUGCAACACCCGAAGUCGGUGAGGUAACCUUUAUGGAGCCAGCCGCCGAAGGUGGGGCAGAUGAUUGGGGGAAGUCGACCCAAGGAUCCUUGCGC
rnacentral:rRNA from 1 species